rnacentral:rRNA from 1 species
AGAGUUUGAUCCUGGCUCAGGACGAACGCUGGCGGCGUGCUUAACACAUGCAAGUCGAACGGUGAAGUCCCUUCGGGGGCGGAUCAGUGGCGAACGGGUGAGUAACACGUGGGCAAUCUGCCCCUCACUGUGGGAUAACUCCGGGAAACCGGGGCUAAUACCGCAUAUGAAGCCUGGCGGCAUCGCCGGGUUUGGAAAGUUUUUCGGUGAGGGAUGAGCCCGCGGCCUAUCAGCUUGUUGGUGAGGUAAUGGCUCACCAAGGCGACGACGGGUAGCCGGCCUGAGAGGGCGACCGGCCACGCUGGGACUGAGACACGGCCCAGACUCCUACGGGAGGCAGCAGUGGGGAAUAUUGGGCAAUGGGCGAAAGCCUGACCCAGCGACGCCGCGUGC